rnacentral:rRNA from 1 species
AACGAACGCUGGCGGCGUGCUUAACACAUGCAAGUCGUACGGUAAGUCCCUUUCGGGUGUACACGAGUUGCGAACGGGUUAGUAACACGUGAUUAGCCUGGGCACAACUUUGGGAUAACGCUAGGAAACUGGGGCUAAUACUUGGUAUGUGCUCCUGCUGCAUUGUGGGGGUUGGAACGUUCCGGCUGUUGUGGAUGGAGUUGCGGCCUAUCAGCUUGUAGGUGGGGUAGUGGGCUACCAAGGCGGCGACGGGUAGCCGGCCUGAGAGGGUGACCGGCAACAUUGGGACUGAGAUACGGCCAAGACUCCGACGGGAGGCAGAAGUGGCGAAGAUUGCACAAUGGGCGCAAGCGUGAUGCAGCACCGCCGCGGGCGGGAGGACGGCCUUCGGGUUGUAAUCCGAUUUCAGCAGGGACGAAGCUUUUUGUGACGGUACCUGCAGAAGAAGCACCGGCUAACUACGUG